AAUGGCCUACCGGCUGAACCAGCAAUUUGGAAGAAUGUAUAGCAACAGCUAAUUGUAUAACAUUAUGCAAUAUCAACUUAGUUGAAUAAAGUUCUAAGUAAAUUUAGAUAAUGACUUAAUUUACUAAUGUGUCUUGACUAAAAUACGUGCCAGCAGUCGCGGUAAUACGUAUAAGGCUAGUGUUAUUCAUCUUUAUUAGGUUUAAAGGGUACUCAGACGGCAAAUAAAGCUGUAAUAAGAACUAAUUUGCUAGAGUUACUUGUAAAGGGGCCUCAAAGUACUGAUGGAGUAGAGAUAAAAUUCUAGUAUACCUUAUUUCAAUAGAAAUAUUAUGGCACUGGUAAAGGCGAAAGCAUCCCCUUAUGUGAUAACUGACGUUAAAGUACGAAGGCUUUGUGUCUCGAAUAGGAUUAGACACCCUAGUAGUCAAAGCAGAAAAUGAUGAGUGUCAUAGAUUGGAAUAAGUUUAAUCUAUAAAUGAAAAUGUAAGCACUCCACCUUAAGAAUAAUGUGGCAACACUGAAAUUGAAAUCAUUAGACCACUUCUGAGAUCAGUAGUGAAGUAUGUCGUUUAAUUUGAUAAUCCGCAAAAAACCUUACCACAACUUGAAUAUUUAUAUUUUGAUAUAUUUACAAGCGUUGCACGGCUGUCUUAAGUCGAUGUCGUGAGAUUACGGUUAGAUCCGCUAAAUUGACGUAAACCCUUAUUUUAUUUUUAUAUAAAAUAGUUCACCUUUAUACAGGACAUGCUAACAGGGAAUAAGGCAAGUCAUCAUGGCCUGAAUGUUGU
rnacentral:rRNA from 1 species